AGAGUCGAUCGGACAGCCGCUGUCUCUUUUUGUUCCGGCAAGAAGGGAGGGAGGAAAGUCCGGGCUCCAUAGGGCAAAGUGCCAGGUAACGCCUGGGAGGCGUGAGCCUACGGAAAGUGCCACAGAAAAUAACCGCCUAAGCGCUUCGGCGCCGGUAAGGGUGAAAAGGU
rnacentral:RNase_P_RNA from 1 species